AUUGAACGCUGGCGGAAUGCUUUACACAUGCAAGUCGAACGGCAGCACGGACUUCGGUCUGGUGGCGAGUGGCGAACGGGUGAGUAAUGUAUCGGAACGUGCCCAGUCGUGGGGGAUAACGUAGUGAAAAUUACGCUAAUACCGCAUACGAUCUAUGGAUGAAAGCGGGGGAUCGCAAGACCUCGUGCGACUGGAGCGGCCGAUAUCAGAUUAGGUAGUUGGUGGGGUAAAGGCCCACCAAGCCAACGAUCUGUAGCUGGUCUGAGAGGACGACCAGCCACACUGGAACUGAGACACGGUCCAGACUCCUACGGGAGGCAGCAGUGGGGAAUUUUGGACAAUGGGCGAAAGCCUGAUCCAGCCAUUCCGCGUGCAGGAUGAAGGCCCUCGGGUUGUAAACUGCUUUUGUACAGAACGAAAAGGUUUCUACUAAUACUAGGAGCUCAUGACGGUACUGUAAGAAUAAGCACCGGCUAACUACGUGCCAGCCGCCGCGGUAA
rnacentral:rRNA from 1 species